ACAAGUUCAAAGGUUUAUCAGAGCACAAUGUUUCUGUUAAAGAGCAGGAAAAUGGAUGAAAAUGUUUCAGCUUGAAGUACCAACUGUGUCUUUGUUUUCUUUAGUCCUUUAUUCAUUUUAUUUUAUCAUUGAGUGAAGAGAAGAAGUUACUUUCUCCCUCUCUGCUGUCUCUCUCUCUCUCUCUCUCUCCGUGUGUGUCUGUGUGUGUCUGUGUGAUGGUUGGGGACUUGUUGUGCUGUGAGAGAGUGAUGGGUUAGGCAAGAUGACAGGCUGGCACAGGGGGCAAGCAGGACGGCGACUGAACAUGCUCGGAUCUGGGGAGAGGUGUCAGUCCUGCAGCCAGCCAAGCAGAAACACACAGGAACACUUAGGAAAAGGUGAUUCAGAGAGGAAACAAACAGAAGAUCCACUUUUGAUAUUCCUGAGACCUGAAGGAGGUGAAUAAAGAGAAUGUCCUUCAAAGUGGAUCUAAGCAGCUGUGUCAGCAAGCAUCCAGCCUGCAGAGGGGUCUUUGAUCAACACACUGAGUCCGUACAAGCUGUUCCGCCGCUGACCCUGACCUCCGACCUCUGGAUUAUCGGGCUGAGGGUCAGAGUCGAUGUGCGCUGGACUAUGAGGCAGAGAUUAGCCUCCAAAGUUCCUGCCCAGCAGAGUUCAGAGAAGGAGGAGGUGGAGGCAGUGUGUGGGGCAGAGGUGGGAGGAGUGGGUGGGUGGUGUGGAUUUGACGGAGAAAGACUGAGCUGCAACUCUGUAAGCAGAGCCCCCCCCCUCCACCUCGACACCUAUCCCACC